GCCCCUGUAGCUCAGUUGGUAGAGCAACUGACUCUUAAUCAGUAGGUCCAAGGUUCGAAUCCUUGCGGGGGCAC
rnacentral:tRNA from 1 species